UUAAGAUAACGCAAGAACCGAGUUUUGCGCCAUUUUCAUUUCUUGCGCUUAAGUAAAUGGAUGUGAGGUUUUCAGUCGAAGGUGAGAGAGGAGACAUGAACUGAACCGCCAAAGGCUACGAAACAUACGAAUGGGGAUACAGGUCUCGUGUUGGUCAGGAGCCGAAUGAGUCAGUCUUCGGAAAGGGAAUGGCGCUGCAAAUCAGUUCCGUGACAUUUUUUCAAUUUGCGGUUGUUACAGAGUACAGACAAACAUUUCUGCCCGAAUUUUAGGUCCUCGAAUCUUCGAAAACAUCAGAAAUACUGAAGAAUGACUAAUCAUUGGAUUGGAUUCGCAAGGAUCCGCAAAGACCUUGUGUUUUUGGGCUAUUGGUCAAGCAGUGUUUAAUAGGAACCGAAUGAAGCGUGUACCCAAAGGCCAAUCUGUUUUCACAGUCGUAACAUGAAAUAAUUUAGCUUCGUGCCAAACAGUGGUAGAAGGUUGCUGGUUGGCAAACUUCCUAGAGGCCAGUUUGGCAGUGAUAGCGGCCUGAAGAAGGAGCAGCACUAAAGAGGACAGUCAAAGAACCUGCAAAUGAAAGCAAUAAAAGAUCAGAGUCAAGUUUUGAAUUUCUGGCUUGACGACGAAGGUAAGGAGAUUUGCGUUAUUUUAUUUCUAAUCCCCAAAAUUUAGCCUUUGCUUUUGAGCACUCCGUAGCAGCAUACAAAUAUCUGUCCUUACGUUACGUGAGGGCUCACGUCCAGUUUCUUUAGAAACUACAUUACGAGCAAACUUUCUGUUUGCGGUACAACGACGUGCAUGACUACCUCUACAUGUGACAAUUGCUUCUCAAGGAAUUUCUACUUGUUGGCAAAAAACAACAGGCAUGAUUUUAACACUGUUCAGAAGUAAAUUUGUUGAGGUACUUCUCGCUCCAGAAAAUGGCGCGAAAACAAGUUUCAAAGCGUUCAGGAAGCGUCAUCCUUAACAGAAACACGUGCGCUUGUAGCUAAAUUUGGAAGUGCAUUCAAUUGCAUAACCCAAUCACGUGCAGGAGGCAUGAAAAUGGCGCGAAAAUAAGUUUCAAGGUUGAUAUCUGUAUAAGAUAAGGCGCGAAAAAUAGGCUAGUUUCGAACUGUUUGUGCGAGAAAGUCUGGUAACUAAUUAUUAGCACCAAACCGAGGCUGA